rnacentral:lncRNA from 1 species
GGAGAUGUGGAAAUGCGCGUCACGCUGACAAAAAACGGUUUCACCUCCCAGUGUUGUUGUCAGAGGAGGGAUGUUGCACAUGGUUCAGUUUUGACGGUGAGAGAGACCGGCUCGUAGCCUACUACACACGUAUAUUGGCUCACAUUGGACAGGAACAGGGCGACGGACCCGGCUUUACGUGAUGGACAAGUGCUCUGCGUAGUCAUGCUUCCUGCUGACUAUAAUGAAGCCGUGAUGGGUUUGAUGGAUACCAAACAGACCUUUGUGCUUUUUAAGAACACAAUUUCUUCAACAACAUGGCCAGGAGUCAGAACUACUGGGGAAAACAUGACCUGAAUAGAGAGGGCUUUGGCCUGAGUGCUGACAUGGAACAAAACCUGACGGAGCUUCAACAGCAAAUGGCCAAGGAAUUAAACUGUGAGUCUUUAAUGUAUACUUUUGUUUUUUUAACAUACAAAUUAUUAUUCAAUGAUUUUACUACAAAGAAAACUACAGAUUGAAAGCGGUUUAAAGCUAGCACAGGUUCAGUUAACUUGGAUGUGACACGUGUAAAGGCUUUGUGAAUGUGAUAAUAUUAUAAUGUUAAUAUUCAUCUGUAGCUGUUGAUAAUCGCUGGAAUGGUUUUUGAAAAAUAAUUUCUACUAUAACCUCUUUUAGAUUGAGGUGAGCUACAUUAGAAUGAACUGUUAAACCUUGAGGUAGAAAGUAACAUUUGUUCAAACAUUAGGGACACAUGAUUCAUGGUUAUUUGGGAAAUUAAAUACAAUAAACCAAACAAAAGAAUUCUAACAUUUUACAGCCACAGACAUUUUUUAAAACAAAUUGUCAGAAAUAUUUCCAAUACAUCUUAUACAUGCUAUCCAAUACCAUAUCUAUAUUCUGAAGUCCGUCUUGACUUGCCAAACGAGAGUUUAAACCCUGUUUGACUAAUAAAACAGUGUGUAGACAGGGUUUAGGUGAGUUUAUCAUCACCGCACUGAGCUGUGUAGCAGAAGAGAGCGGGCUAAAGGAGGAGGGGAAGCUAUUGCUCCCUGGUCACCAGCUGUUCC